rfam:Candidatus Omnitrophica bacterium 4484_49 ex4484_49_scaffold_5310, whole genome shotgun sequence.
UAGGCUCUGCGGUGUGCGCUCUGUCUGCAUGAGGGAUCCUGAGGCGAAUUGAAUUUCGAGGGAGCCUGCGUUGAGAUGGCUUAGUGAGUCCCGAAUGAUUUCGGGAUUCAGAUGCCAUCUCACAGGGCACCCACCUGUGGAGGGUCACUCAGUGACUCUCUAUGCAGCGGCGGCACCGCGGGGUCUGU